rnacentral:rRNA from 1 species
UACGUAGGGUGCAAGCGUUAAUCGGAAUUACUGGGCGUAAAGCGUGCGCAGGCGGUUUGUUAAGACAGAUGUGAAAUCCCCGGGCUUAACCUGGGAACUGCAUUUGUGACUGGCAAGCUAGAGUAUGGCAGAGGGGGGUGGAAUUCCGCGUGUAGCAGUGAAAUGCGUAGAGAUGCGGAGGAACACCGAUGGCGAAGGCAGCCCCCUGGGCUAACACUGACGCUCAGGCACGAAAGCGUGGGGAGCAAACAGG